rnacentral:rRNA from 1 species
AACGGCCGUACCAUGCUGAAUAUACCGGUUCUCGUUAGAUCACCGAAGUUAAGCAUCAUUGGGCGCGGUCAGUACUUGGGUGGGUGACCACCUGGGAACACU